UACUAAUUGAUUUUUUGUAAGGCUGAC
rnacentral:piRNA from 1 species